rnacentral:lncRNA from 1 species
AGGUUGACGAUUAAUUUUUGGGACAUAUUUUCCAACAACUCUCACUUGUCCUAAAGCUACUCGGCACAGUAUCUAAUACCCAUCUUCGACUUGUAGUUGUCUAACUCCUUUAUCGCUAGGGCUUUAGUGAAGGGAUGGGUCAGGUUCUCCUUUCCAUCAAUCUUUUGAAGGUCGACAUCACCUUGAUCCAUGAUCCCCC